CCGAGUCUAGGGGCCCCUCGUGGGUCCCGAACUCCCACCCAUUGUUAACGUACCCUCGUUGCCUCGGCGGGCCUGCGGGUCUCCCGCCUCCGGCUCCGGCUGGAGAGCGCCUGCCAGAGGACCAACUAAACUCGUCUUUUGACCGGCAGUCUGAGUAAAAUAACAAAUAAGUUA
rnacentral:misc_RNA from 1 species